UAAACAGCCGGUACCGGUAUUGAUGAGAGUGAAACUUCAGGAACAUUCAUCGAAGCAGGCUGUUGUAAAGAAGCAUUUUGAAAUAGAUUUUCACUUGAUGUUUUCUGUUCCAUAAUAAUGUUGUUAGAAUCAACGUGUUCACGGAAACCAGUAUUUUGUAGUGAGAUAUGUCCCAGUUCGUUGAGCGUAUUGGGUUCAUUACGUGGUUUUAAAUGUAUUGAACUUCGCCGGUAGCUGACGCCGUCAACGUUGACCUUAUACGACCGUUCACUGAGACGAUCCGUGAUCGUACCGGCAGUCCAUAAUUUCGAAGUUUCUGGAUGCAAUUGAACAUACACAGUUAGUUCGGUUUUUUUCGAUAGCAGCAGGUACGCCUUCCACUACUCGGGGAAGUAAAUUUGCAGACGAUGUUGGUAUUCCACAACGCGUCGAACGUGAGAAAAGACGAGCUGCUGGGCUGGAUCCAAUCUUGUUUGCGGCUUCCGAUUUACCGUUUGCUUGUUGGUGAUGAGGCGCCGAAGUAACCAACUCAAAAUCCCAGUCAUUGGCGAAUCGAAUCAUUUUUGCAUUGACAAAAUUAGUAGCGUUGUCGCUAAUCACCCUCUGUGGCUUUCCAUGACGAGCAAAAUUGGCUUUACACACAUCAAUAACAGAUUCGGGCGUUAAAUCUUUUAAGAUGUCGACUUCAAAGAAAUCCGAAUAGUGGUCUACUGUCGCCAAGAAUUUUCGUGUAAAACCACGAUACUCGGCUUGAAAAACAUCCAUUGACACUAAUUGGAAAGGAUAGAUGGGAAUGCAAUGACUCAUCAUCGGUGGAUUUGGUUGUGAAGCAACAUACUUUGCGCACGUCUGGCACUCCUUGACUACGUUCUUGAUCUGAGAUGACAUUCCUGGCCAGAAGAGAUUCGCUCUGGCUAGCUUCAAAGUCGACUCCACUCCAUUGUGGCUAACGUGGCAGCUGUCAAUUAACUUUCUUCGAAGAACAUAAGGCACUACAAUGCGAUCGCCACGGAAAACUAAUCCAUCUUGUGUAGAUAGUUCGCUGCGAUAACCGUAAUAAACUUUCACUGUGUCUGGUACUCUGUCGACUGUAGGAGGCCAACCUUGCUGGAUAUAACUGAUAAUUAGCUGAAGUGGCUGAUCAUUACUUGUUUCCUUUUUUAUCUCAGUCAAGCGAUUAUCAGAAACCGAUAGAAACUUACUCAACUGAAGCACUUCAACUUCCUUUCCAAUUUUGCAGAUAUUUAAUUUUUUGAAACAAUCACUGGGCAGCUUUUCAUCUACUGGUGCUCGGGACAGAGCAUCUGCAACAACGUUGUCUUUUCCUGUUACAAAUUCGAUGCUCAAAGAAUAUCGUUGCAAAUUGAGCAGCAUAUGUUGAAGUCGUCGUGGAGCUGAGAGAAGAGGCUUUUUGAACAGGCUGACGAGAGGUUUGUGGUCUGUUUUCACAACUGUUUUUUUGUUACCGACUAUUAUUUGAUCGAAACGAAUGCAUGCAAACAAAAUCGCUAGCAGCUCUUUCUCAAUUUGUGCAUAAUUCCUUUCAGUUUGCGUGAGCGUUCGUGAGGCGUAUCCAAUGACUCCAUCCUUUUGAUAAACCACAACACCUAGUCCGAAGCAACUUGCAUCACACUCUACUAUUAAUGGUUGAUUGAUGUUGUAGUAUCGGAGUGUGCCAAUAUCAGCUACCCGUGAUUUUAUGCGACUAAAUUCUUCCUCUUCGAUUGCUGUCCACUGCCACGGUACCGAUUCCACAAUUAGUUUUCGGAGGUUAACUAGGUUUGCACUCAGAUUUUGGAUAAAUCGACUAAGAUAAUUUACCAUACCGAUGAAUCGAUGGACUUCUUUGCGGUUUGUAGGUGUUGGAAAGUUCCUUAUUGUCGAUAUCUUGCUGUCGUCUGGUUUGAUACCCUGGUCUGUUAACAUAUGACCGUAAAAUUUUACGGAUGUUUCGCACAACUUCAUCUUUGAUUUGUUUAGUUUGACGUUGUAGUCCUCUAGGCGUGUGAGCAGUUUUUCGAGACACUGGUUGUGAUCGAUCAAGGCUGUUUCAAAGUCAUCGCCGGUUCCGUAAACAAGCAAAUCAUCGGCGAUGCAUUCGACACCUUUGAGUCCUUGAAUAACCUCCUGUAAUUUCAUUUGAAAAAUCUCUGGGGCUGAAGAAAUUCCGAAUGGCAAACGAGUCCACCGAUAGCGUCCGAAAGGUGUCCAGAAUGUAGUAAGCUUACUACUAUGCUCGUCCAGAACCACAUGCCAAAAUCCUUUUUUGGCAUCCAUAGUCGUAAAUACUUUAGCACGUCCUAACUCAGGAAGGAUUUCAUCCAACGUCACGAAUUGCAAAUUUGGUCUUUUUAGAGCUUUAUUGAGAGGAAUAGGAUCCAAACAGAUUCUGAUACCAGACGAUUCAGUACCACGUUGAACUAUGACGAUGUUACUGACCCAUUGCGUAUGCUUUAGUUCUUUGACAAUUAAUCCUUCCUUCUCUAAAGAUUCUAACUCCUUUUUUAGCUUAUCUCGCAUUGCGAUUGGUACUCUUCGUGGUGAUUGUAUGAUUGGGGAGAUGCUGUUGUCCACUUCUAGAGAAACUGUACCGGGAAGUCGGCCAUACCCAGCGAAGAUAUUAGCAUGAGCAUCUACAAUUCUUUGCGCUUCGACACGAUAUAUAUUCAAAAGUGAUGACUGUGAUGACUUCUCAAACGAUACCGAUUUGCAAAACUUCACGAAACCGAGUACGCGUGAGACUUUUGCUGACAGCAGAGGGCAAUGAUCUCCGUUCACCACUUGUAGUAUGAGCAUAAAUUCACGAUUCUUUCGGCGACAUGGAAUUUUCACUUCACCGAGAACUUUAAUAGGAUUUCCUCCAAAGCUUUGCAGACGAAGUUUCGAAGGAAGCAAAGGUUGGUUACCACAAAGCUUGGUCAAGUACUCAUUACCAAUUAAGCUGGUAUUAGCCCCAGUGUCUAGCUCACAUUUAACCGAUUUCCAACCAUCGGAGAACUUCAAAUCGAGUUUGGCUAAAACAUUCCCACCCUUGGCAGUGUUAUCGUAAAUUUUUCCGAUUUCGUACUCUCCUUCGCUUUCUCCGGAGGAUGUUUCGCUUGAUGACUCUUCGGAUUCACUCGAUUCUUCAGUGAUUUCCUUUACUCGCUUUGGGUGUUUCGGUGACUUUUGAUAGCGUUUGUGACAAACUUUUUCAAAGUGGUUUUUUCCUUUGCAACGAUGGCACCGUUUUCCUAAAGCUGGGCAUACUCCUUUCAAAAACUCAUGACGAUCACCACAAAACUUGCAGUGAAGGUUUUUUGAUUUGGGCUUGAUAAUUUUCUUUACUUCUGAACUUGAAGCGAUUGACAUAUCUAUUGAGCGUUUUGCUGCAAUUUCCUCUGCACGACACAUAUCGAUGGCUUUAAGCAAUGUUAUAUCAGAAACAGUAAGCAUCUUGGUACGUAAGUGUGACCAUUUGUUGGCAGUGACAACCUUAUACGUUACCAACUCUGUUUCCAAAGCACCGAAUUUUGCAGAUUUAGCAAGUAUCUUUAAACGGGAGGCGUAGUCAUCGAUUGUUUCACUGGAAUAUUGGGAGGCAGAGAAGAAAUCCAAACGGUCAACAAUUAUGUUACGUCUCGCUGUAACCUUCUCACGAAUCGCUUGUAGAGCGUUCUGCACCGUAGCUUUUUGUGCAUCAGUCAAUUCGAAGUUAAAGUAUUUUCUUCGUGCAGGUUCACCAAUUACUGACAUCAGAAAACUAACUUUCUGAGAAUCUUCCACAUCUGGCCAAUGGUCCAUUCCGACAGCUUUUGAAUAAUCAAACCAGCUUUUUUCGAAAAAUUCGAAAUUUUGCUCCAUAUCACCAUCUAGUGCGAGUGGUGAUGGUUGGGGAACAGCCACGUUUGGUCCCAUUACAGCUGGUACUGGAUGAUGUUGUGGCGGGGUGAAUUUGGUUAAAAGCUGACCAAACAUUUUUGUUUGGUGAUCCAGAAACUUAGCAAACUGCUCGGGAUCCAUAUUGAUGAGGAUCGAAUGACUUUGAUUCAAAUAACACUUUGCCGUUUGCAAAAGUAAAAUGCAAUAUGGCCGCCUAUACCUAGCGACUAGCUCAGUCCGAUAAAAAAUGUCCGUGUAAUUUUAUUUCCGCACUUUUCCCGUGAUUUAACUGACACCAAGAAAACGUACUUAGAAGCACACGUCAACUUCUGACACCAUGUUUUAUUCUCAAAUAAAUACUCCGGCUAUUCGUUAUAAAUCUUUAUUCACCAGUUCUCAACAUAACUGUCUUCAAGCAUAGCUUCAAUUCAACUAACUAAAAUCCGCGGGUAAAAAUACAAGGGGCACACAAGGAGUCGUUGUAAUGGCGAUAACAAGGGGUUAUUAAAAUAAUGCAACAGUCAUAUUUUAGUCACUACUUAUAGCCGAGCGUCACAGAUUUUCAAUACAUCGAUGAGAGAAUAAGAAUUGAAAUUCUGCGAAUGCUCCCUGAAGACGUUAUUUUGUUUUCUUCUUGUCAUAUAGGAAAGCGUAUCGUUGGCAAUUAUACUCUCUCUCUCUCUCUCUCUCUCUCUCUCUCUCUCUUUUUUCAAUGAGAAACGAGUAUGCUUCGCCUCUCUCUGUUUGUUCUGGUGUCGGUUAUUUACGAAUGUGACAGUAAAAUGUUGAAAAAGAGGCUGUUGGAUUGGAUUCUUUCAUUGAGAAUGCGUGACAAUUUUAUGCUCUGGUAUUAGCCACUCUGAAUGAGCAAAUUUUACGCACAGUAUAUCUAUUUUUUGUGCUUCAGUUGAAAAAUAUGAAUUGCUUCAUCUACACUUAAUUCUAUGCGGAGCGCAAAAUAAUUGAGUUUGCUAAAGACAACCACAAUAUGCAGUAUAUGAAGCAUAAAAACAUCAAGUGCAAAAUCCCAGAGUAUGAACUGCAAUGUGUUUUGAAAGCACGUGUGCAUAAGCUGCACUCAACUUCUAACGACAAAUACAGGGUCCGGCACUCGAAGUGUAACCAAUUAAAAAGAUACAAAAUUACAAAUUCAGAAUCAAUUCACUUUUGCUCGAUAUGACCACCUUUUGCCUUGACUUGAUGACUUGAGAGAGCGAAGGAGUUGCUUCGUUUGGCCGAAAGCGGUCAAUUUCCGAACAUUGUAUUUUCUGACGAGAAAAUUUUUCCAAUUGAGCAAUUCGUAAACUCUCAAAACGAUAGGGUUUACUUGACCGACCGUUCAUACGAGAAUUUGAGUCAUCGAUUGGCCACCAGGAGGCAGCACCCGCAACAGAUAAUUUUUUGGGCCGCUGUAACCGCAGAUGGGCGCUCUCCAAUCGUUUUCAUCGAGCCUGGCGUCAAGGUAAAUGCGACAUAUUAUCGGGAAAGUAUUCUGGAGGUUGCUUUGAAGCCGUGGGCAGACAAACAUUUCGGUGGCAGACCAUGGACGUUUCAGCAGGACUCGGCACCGUCUCACAAAGCUCGAGUGAACCAAGAAUGGCUGAAAAACAACGUUCCGAACUUCAUCACGUCCACACAAUGGCUCUCGAAUUCACCAGAUGCGAAUCCAAUGGAUUAUUCUCUUUGGGCCAUUUUGGAGAGCAAAGUCCGAACUAAAAGAUACACCAGUCUCGAGGCGCUGAAAAAAGAUAUUGUCCGCGAGUGGGCCAAAAUACCUGCAAGUCACAUUCGGCCAAACGAAGCAACUCCUUCGCUCUCUCAAGUCAUCAAGUCAAGGCAAAAGGUGUUCAUAUCGAGCAAAAGUGAAUUGAUUCUGAAUUUUGUAUUAUUUUUACACAUUUUGUACUUUGAAUUAAGUAAAAGUAAUUUUCCAAACUGAAUUUAUGGCCUUUUUAAUUUGUUACACUUCGAGUGCCGGACCCUGUAUAUUUGGGAAUUCCUUUUGCAGUACGGAGAUAUUGUUACCUUCAAUGGCGUACGUUUGUUACGCCUGCUCUUUAAGCAGUUUGUACCUUCGUAACUGCAACUUUUAGUUGGGAUACAAAAAGCCCACGUCACUAGUCACAUACGACCAUCAAUUGGCCACAUGACAAUAAGACCACAUACCUGUUCACUAGGGUGAAAUGUCGAAAUUAGAAGGCAUUUUCAUACAAGGCCAACAGUAUUUCUCUUUCACUGACCUCAAGCAACAACAAUACUUCUCAGACAGAGUUUAACAACAAUGUAACCAAUGUACAACAGGCGAGUCUAGCUAACAACGAACAUAGUGUGUCGUCAGUAAAAAUAACAGCAAUAAGACAGAAAAACCAUACAACAAUUUUUCCGCCAACAACUGCGACACCGAACCAAUGGACAAGGACGGGAUCAGUGAACCAUUCUCAGCUAACAAAAGCCAGCCUAAAAUGUUUGUUUUAUUCAAACGGUCACGUUGAGCCUGUUACAAAUGAGCUUGAAUAAAGACUAUUAAAUAACACUGAAA